rnacentral:rRNA from 1 species
AUACGAAGGGGGCAAGCGUUGUUCGGAAUAACUGGGCGUAAAGCGCACGUAGGCGGAAUGUUAAGUUAGAGGUGAAAUCCCAGGGCUCAACCCUGGAACGGCCUUUAAUACUGGCAAUCUAGAGACCGAGAGAGGUGAGUGGAAUUCCGAGUGUAGAGGUGAAAUUCGUAGAUAUUCGGAGGAACACCAGUGGCGAAGGCGGCUCACUGGCUCGGUACUGACGCUGAGGGACGGAAGCGUGGGGAGCGAACAGGAUUAGAAACCCUAGUAGUCC